CCUGCGCACUGCCAGGGCUCACAGCCAGUGGGCUACCCGAAGGACAAGUCCUCCACUAACACCACAAGGGGCUCCUGCCCACUUAGCAGACUUUAAUAGGAAUUCUUGCUUUAAGG
ensembl:snoRNA SNORA62 Small nucleolar RNA SNORA62/SNORA6 family